rnacentral:rRNA from 1 species
GAUGAACGCUGGCGGCGUGCCUAAUACAUGCAAGUCGAGCGAACAGACGAGGAGCUUGCUCCUCUGACGUUAGCGGCGGACGGGUGAGUAACACGUGGAUAACCUACCUAUAAGACUGGGAUAACUUCGGGAAACCGGAGCUAAUACCGGAUAAUAUAUUGAACCGCAUGGUUCAAUAGUGAAAGACGGUUUUGCUGUCACUUAUAGAUGGAUCCGCGCCGCAUUAGCUAGUUGGUAAGGUAACGGCUUACCAAGGCAACGAUGCGUAGCCGACCUGAGAGGGUGAUCGGCCACACUGGAACUGAGACACGGUCCAGACUCCUACGGGAGGCAGCAGUAGGGAAUCUUCCGCAAUGGGCGAAAGCCUGACGGAGCACCGCCGCGUGAGUGAUGAAGGUCUUCGGAUCGUAAAACUCUGUUAUUAGGGAAGAACAAAUGUGUAAGUAACUAUGCACGUCUUGACGGUACCUAAUAAGAAAGCCACGGCUAACUACGUG